UACGAAGGGGGCUAGCGUUACUCGGAUUGACUGGGCGUAAAGGGCGCGUAGGCGGUUUGUACAGUCAGACGUGAAAUUCCUGGGCUCAACCUGGGGGCUGCGUUUGAUACGUGCAGACUUGAGUUCGGAAGAGGGUCGUGGAAUUCCCAGUGUAGAGGUGAAAUUCGUAGAUAUUAGGAAGAACACCGGUGGCGAAGGCGGCGACCUGGUCCGAUACUGACGCUGAGGCGCGAAAGCGUGGGGAGCAAACAGG
rnacentral:rRNA from 1 species